UACGUAGGCAGCAAGCGUUGUUCGGAGUUACUGGGCGUAAAGGGUGUGUAGGCGGUCUUCUAAGUUUGGUGUGAAAUCUCCCGGCUCAACUGGGAGGGUGCGCCGAAAACUGGGAGGCUAGAGUGCGGGAUGGGAGAGUGGAAUUCCUGGUGUAGCGGUGAAAUGCGCAGAUAUCAGGAGGAACACCGAUGGCGAAGGCAGGUCUCUGGGCCACUACUGACGCUGAGAAGCGAAAGCGUGGGGAGCGAACAGG
rnacentral:rRNA from 1 species